AUCUGCGGCCACAGACUCCAUAAACCACCACAUCCCGUUAGCUCUGUGAAGUUAAGUUGGAGAUCGCCUGAUCAGUACCAAGGUCGGGGACGACUUGGGAAUCUCAGGUGCUGUAGUUG
rfam:Cryptococcus bestiolae CBS 10118 unplaced genomic scaffold supercont1.1, whole genome shotgun sequence.